GUUAACCUUUGCUGUAUUUUUCACAGUAAAAUACCACAAAAUGCCCAGUAACUUACCUGAAAACAUUUCUACAGUUAAUUACUGUAAUUUGCUAUGCAUUAUGGGUAUAUUAAGGUUAUUUACAGUAACUUACUGUAUUUUUUAAAAUUGCGGUAGUAGUUAUACCUACCGUUAACACAUUAGCAGUAGUGCUACUGUAUUAUGUGAUUUGAAUGGUUCAUCAUACUGUUUGUGUAUUUUUACUCUUUCAGUGGUUGGUUGCAAUAGUGCAUUACAUUUUAACUCUUUCACUGCUAACCAUUUCCAGAUUUUCCUCCAACCUAUGCCAUUUGUCAGUAUGAUACCAGUGAAAGUAUUAUGGUUUUGACUUUUUAGGGGACUUGCCUGUGUGUAAGGUUCAAGAAUUCUGAUCAUCUAAUCUGCUGCAUGCAGUUGUAUGCACAUGCACAGCUGCUGCAAAUGUGUGCUUGCCACUGCGUUGCCAUAGAGAUCAAUUCAAGUGACAGCUGCUCCUGGGGAGAGGGAAAAGAAUGCAGAAAGGCCUCCUUGUAGGGAAAUUUUAUAAAGCAAGGUUCUCCAAAUCUCUCCCAAAAUUCUGUGUUUUCUUAAUUGACUUCCAUUCAUAUGUAAAGACUAUAGGGUUAACUACAAAUAAAAAAAGCAGAAUUCACAUUGUUGCAUCUCCAUCACUUAUCUCUGAUUAACCCUGAACAAGAUUCACACUUCCUUUUGUUAAUUUUUUAACUUGCCACUAUUCUGUUGUUGGAUUUCACUUAGGUUGUUGCUGCUGUCUGUUUUUGUGUAAUUUUGUACUUGUGACAAGUAGUGAAUAAAGUUAUUUAAAAAAGACGCAGAAAGGCGAACUUUAGUCAGUGGAGAAUAUUGUAAUAAUUUGGCGGAGGCUUCUCAGUCGAGCAGUAACUGAAUUGCUCAUUUACUGAACGUGCAACAUGUACAGAACUCUUCUGGGAACUAGUCAACCCAACUUAGUGAAACACACACUGAAUGCAUGCUGGCCCCGCCCACCCACCUACCUCUACCAACCACCACUCCAUAUCCUGACUGACAUGACCUGUGAUCCAGUGAUUGACAGGAGAGGAAAGACUGGCCAACUUUGUUAGCUCUUCGUUAGGAUAUGCUCGAGAGGACAAAAGAUUUUGCACCUCGUUAUUGUUGGACCUCUGUGUGGAAACAGCGAACGGGACGUCAUAAGUGUGGUGCAUUGCUGUCCUCCUGCCCUUGCUGGCCGCGCUGACAGUGUGAUGUAGCCUCAGUUCUUUGAGAGACAAGACAAAACAGCAGGGAAUAAUUUCAUGUCUGCAAGCCGCUGGAUGAUCAGUUUGGAGGGCAAGGUAUUUUAUGAGCCUGAGCAGAUGCAUGACUUUGGCAGCACCCUUGCUGGCUUCUUUGCGUCAUACUACGUUUUCAACCUUGAGUAUCAGGAGUCAGCGUCCAUCACACUGGAGAUGAUACAGAGGUUCUUUGUGAGGAUCAAUCCAGACAUGGGAACAAAAUGCCCUGCAAAACUUGGUACAAGCCGCAAGACAGGUCAUGUCGUAAAGAGGAAGGUUACAAGCAUCAGCCCUCGGAUCACCACCUUCCUCCAGCGGCUCUCUGGAGGACUUCCAACUAGGUGGUGACGAAGACUACGCUGAACCCGACCAUCCUGGUAACAGAAAUCUAAAUCCCAUGUCACAUUCUAUUUCCUGGGACCCACUGAUAAUUACUACAUUUUGUAAAUGAUUUUUGUUUUACAAUUGUAAUAGUUUAUUUAAUGUUCAUGCUGGUGGGUUUGUCCUGUUUUUAGUGGAAUGAAAAACUGUUUUUCUUAAAAAAAAUCAGACACAGAAAGUUGAAGGACUGUGUAGUUUUCAUGGACGCUUCUAUUUAUUUUGGUUAUUGACAUUGUUUUUAUUCAGUUGAAAAAUGUUUUUCUUGUUAAAAAAAUUAUCAACAAUAAAUGUUGGUUUAAUUCACUA